ACGAACGCUGGCGGCAUGCCUAAUACAUGCAAGUCGAACGAUACUUUCGGGGAUAGUGGCGCACGGGUGCGUAACGCGUGGGAAUCUGCCCUUGGGUUCGGAAUAACUUCGGGAAACUGAAGCUAAUACCGGAUGAUGACGAAAGUCCAAAGAUUUAUCGCCUAGGGAUGAGCCCGCGUAGGAUUAGCUAGUUGGUGGGGUAAAGGCCUACCAAGGCGACGAUCCUUAGCUGGUCUGAGAGGAUGAUCAGCCACACUGGGACUGAGACACGGCCCAGACUCCUACGGGAGGCAGCAGUGGGGAAUAUUGGACAAUGGGCGAAAGCCUGAUCCAGCAAUGCCGCGUGAGUGAUGAAGGCCUUAGGGUUGUAAAGCUCUUUUACCCGAGAAGAUAAUGACGGUAGCGGGAGAAUAAGCUCCGGCUAACUCCGU
rnacentral:rRNA from 1 species